rnacentral:sRNA from 1 species
AUAUUCACUAAGUAUUCACGCACACUCACUGCGUAACGAAUGAAGGAACAUCG